GGUGGAGUGGCCAUGUGAAUAGGGCACUGGAUUAUAGGACUCAAGAGACCUGGGUUCAAUUCCUGGCUCUGCCA
rnacentral:tRNA from 1 species